AAUCAACGCUGGCGGCGUGCCUAACACAUGCAAGUCGAGCGAGAAAAGGGGGGCAACUCCCUGAGUACAGCGGCGCACGGGUGAGUAACACGUGGGUAAUCUGCCCUGGAGUGGGGAAUAACACCGGGAAACCGGUGCUAAUACCGCGUACGAUCACGGAGUCUGCGGAUUUUGUGAUGAAAGGAGCAAUUCGUUCUAGGAGGAGCCCGCGGCUGAUUAGCUAGUUGGUGAGGUAAUGGCCCACCAAGGCAACGAUCAGUAUCCGGUCUGAGAGGGUGACCGGCCACACUGGGGCUGAGACACGGCCCAGACUCCUACGGGAGGCAGCAGUGGGGAAUAUUGCACAAUGGGCGCAAGCCUGAUGCAGCAACGCCGCGUGAGGGACGACGGCCUUCGGGUUGUAAACCUCUUUUAGCAGGGAAGAAGCGAAAGUGACGGUACCUGCAGAAAAAGCACCGGCUAACUACGUGCCAGCAGCCGCCGUAAUAC
rnacentral:rRNA from 1 species